rnacentral:rRNA from 1 species
UUAGUAGUGGCGAGCGAACGGGGAUUAGCCCUUAAGCUUCAUUGAUUUUAGCGGAACGCUCUGGAAAGUGCGGCCAUAGUGGGUGAUAGCCCCGUACGCGAAAGGAUCUUUGAAGUGAAAUCGAGUAGGACGGAGCACGAGAAACUUUGUCUGAAUAUGGGGGGACCAUCCUCCAAGGCUAAAUACUCCUGACUGACCGAUAGUGAACCAGUACCGUGAGGGAAAGGCGAAAAGAACCCCGGAGAGGGGAGUGAAAUAGAACCUGAAACCGUGUACGUACAAGCAGUGGGAGCACCUUCGUGGUGUGACUGCGUACCUUUUGUAUAAUGGGUCAGCGACUUAUAUUCAGUGGCAAGCUUAACCGUAUAGGGUAGGCGUAGCGAAAGCGAGUCUUAAUAGGGCGUUUAGUCGCUGGGUAUAGACCCGAAACCGGGCGAUCUAUCCAUGAGCAGGUUGAAGGUUAGGUAACACUGACUGGAGGACCGAACCCACUCCCGUUGAAAAGGUAGGGGAUGACUUGUGGAUCGGAGUGAAAGGCUAAUCAAGCUCGGAGAUAGCUGGUUCUCCUCGAAAGCUAUUUAGGUAGCGCCUCAUGUAUCACUCUGGGGGGUAGAGCACUGUUUCGGCUAGGGGGUCAUCCCGACUUACCAAACCGAUGCAAACUCCGAAUACCCAGAAGUGCCGAGCAUGGGAGACACACGGCGGGUGCUAACGUCCGUCGUGAAGAGGGAAACAACCCAGACCGCCAGCUAAGGUCCCAAAGUUGUGGUUAAGUGGUAAACGAUGUGGGAAGGCUUAGACAGCUAGGAGGUUGGCUUAGAAGCAGCCAUCCUUUAAAGAAAGCGUAAUAGCUCACUAGUCGAGUCGGCCUGCGCGGAAGAUGUAACGGGGCUCAAACCACACACCGAAGCUGCGGGUGUCACGUAAGUGACGCGGUAGAGGAGCGUUCUGUAAGCCUGUGAAGGUGAGUUGAGAAGCUUGCUGGAGGUAUCAGAAGUGCGAAUGCUGACAUGAGUAACGAUAAAGCGGGUGAAAAGCCCGCUCGCCGGAAGACCAAGGGUUCAUGUCCAACGUUAAUCGGGGCAGGGUGAGUCGACCCCUAAGGCGAGGCUGAAAAGCGUAGUCGAUGGGAAACAGGUUAAUAUUCCUGUACUUCUGGUUACUGCGAUGGAGGGACGGAGAAGGCUAGGCCAGCUUGGCGUUGGUUGUCCAAGUUUAAGGUGGUAGGCUGAAAUCUUAGGUAAAUCCGGGGUUUCAAGGCCGAGAGCUGAUGACGAGUCGUCUUUUAGAUGACGAAGUGGUUGAUGCCAUGCUUCCAAGAAAAGCUUCUAAGCUUCAGGUAACCAGGAACCGUACCCCAAACCGACACAGGUGGUCGGGUAGAGAAUACCAAGGCGCUUGAGAGAACUCGGGUGAAGGAACUAGGCAAAAUGGCACCGUAACUUCGGGAGAAGGUGCGCCGGCUAGGGUGAAGGAUUUACUCCGUAAGCUCUGGCUGGUCGAAGAUACCAGGCCGCU